CCCUUUGGUCGUCAGCACGUCCCCCAGCUGCGCCUCGCGCUCGGCCAGGGCCUCCAGGUCGCCGUGGAGACCGCGACACUCCCUCAGCAACGCCUAUUGACCCGAGAGAGUAAAUUACACGAGAGAAAGACUGCCGCCCUUGACGUCCAAUCUCAACGCGAUGUUCUUCAGCUUGGCCUCGAUGUCCUUCAGCCGGAAGCUGAAGUCCUCUUUCACGUCCCGCGUCUGUUGCACCUCCCGCUCUCUGGCCUGGACCUGGUGCGCACGGCACAGAGACGCUCGGGAUUAACUUUGGACUGGUGUGAAAUGAAUUUCAGUGCUGCCCGUAGGGGUUUUCACCUGAUCUUCGGCGGAGCCCAGCGCCAGCGUCACCUCCGCCAGCUGCAUGCCGAGCUCCGACGGCAGACCCGCCUGCAGGUCGUGGUACUUGGACUGCUGCAACUCCGUCAUGCGCUCGACGCUCUGACGCCUGCUGACGACCCCGCGCAGAGUGUCCAGGUCGGCGGUGGGGCUCAGGAGCAAGCCUUGAGUGUCUUGAAUCCAACCUUUGACCAGGACCAGCUCCCUUUCCACCUCCUGUCUCUCCCUCAACUCCUGUUGCACCUGCGUUCGGCUGGCCUGAACUUGGGAGACGACACUUGAGAAGACAAAAGCGGUCUUCCUCUGCAACUCCUCCUCAUCACCGGUGAGGCCGCGGGCGCACCGGCCCAGCAGAGCCAGGAUGGACUGCUCCCUCGCCACCUCUAGGACGAAGGAGUCGUGGUACUCCAGGAGGCUCUGGAGGGCCGCCCCGGUGGCCGCCUUCUCCACAGUGCUGUCUGGGAUGCGGCUGUGGAGGUCCGCUGAGACGGACCGCGCCUUAUCCAUCUGGGGACCGUCAGACAGGAGGCGACUGGACUCCAGUGCACGGAAUGACAUCAUGACAAUUAAAACAAAGCAGCAAUAGAAAAUCAAGGCGUAGCGCUUUGUGGGAAUUCUUGACGGCUGACGUGUUCGUGCUGGAAAUAGCAAAGAGAGGCUGCACGAUGUGAGUUGUGGCCCGCCGGGGGAAAACAACUGGCCCAGAGCCUGGAGUUACAUCACUGGUUUUGGAGUUGUUUGACCCAAAUCAGUAGGAAGAGGCGCAAGUUUAGCAAGUGCUUGUCGACUGCCAGCUUUCAAAGUGGGACACGGGUUUCUACGAUGGUUUACAGAUUAAAUGUUUUGUCAUUGAACAAGGGAUUACAGUGUACCGUACCAACAAAAUACUUGUGAUAUGAUGUAUAUUCCCAUUUGUGAAACGCAAGGCUUGAAGAGGGGCAUAUGGUGGUGCCUUGAGACGGGAAGCCUGAAUUGCAUGUUUUUCAGGGUACAUUGUGCCAAUAAUUUGUUUUGACUUAUGAACGAAAACCUGAGUGACGAGCGCUGUAUGUUGGCAGUGACCUCAACUCACUUCGCAAC